rnacentral:misc_RNA from 1 species
GAAAAACCAAUCAGACUUCCAUUCACUAAAACAAAUAAUAACUGGAGUAGUGGUUACACACUGUACACAACCUCGCAUCAAAGACUAAUGAAUUUCAUUUGCUAAACCCCCCAAGUUUUCUAGGAAAUCAAUGAUGGCUAAAAAAAAAUAAAAAAUACAUAGGAUGCUCAAAAAAUGCAAACUCACAACAAACAAAAAGAAUACCAAGCAACUAACUUGUAACAAUAAUAAUAAAUUAGCAUUAUGAAAACCCCCCCAAAAAAUAGCAUUGCAAAUAAAGACAGGAUCUUCAGUCCUCUCCACUUCGGAAACUUAGGGGAGCAGUAGCAGCUAAAAAUACACUGCUGCUGUCCCUCAAACAUUGUUGAAAUCAGACCCUUUGCUGCUGUAUAGGUGGUGCUAGAAAAACGGGAAGCAAAUGGAGGGGGAAAAAUAGAUAGAGAAGGCUUGUAAAAUUCUCUUUCUUCUAUCCCCAUUAUAUAGCCUGGGAGAGAGCAGGCCUCAAUGCACUCAGAACAACUGGAGUGCCAUUUUUACCUUGUUCUGUUUCCACUUGGGUAACUUGUAGAAAGCCUCCUUAACCAUCCCGAAUUUCUCUCUGAACUCUUCCGAAGACAAGUAAG